AGGGCCUGUCCAGUUUGUAUAAAACUGCUGGCAGCAAGAGGAGGCUGGACGUUUGCUCAAGGAUCCUGACAAUUUGCUUUUAAAGGGACAUAAAAUUCAAGCAAGAAAAUGUCUCGACUUGAGUUAGCUUUAUAUAUAAUACUUGUAUCCUACACAUCAGAGGUUCGUUCCCAGGUGACACUGGAAGAAUCGGGUGGGGAUGCGGUGAUGCCUGGGGCCAGACUACGGCUCACUUGUAAGACCGCCGGGUUUGAAGUUGGACCGGGAAGUGGUAUUGGUUUGAACUGGGUCCGGCAGCAGCCCGGGAAGGGGCUUGAGUGGGUCGCGUAUCAUUAUACAAACCCCGAUGGUUCUCACGAUGUAUACUACGCCCCCUCGGUGAAGGGCCGGUUCACCAUUUCCAGGGACGUUCCCCAAAGGCUCCUGUACCUGGACAUGACGGACCUGAAGCCUGAGGACAGCGCCUUGUAUUACUGUGCGAGACACACAGCGAUCAAAGACAGCGGGGUCUCGUACAGUAACCUCUCUGUCCCUGCUGGGCCCAAGAGCAGAUUGUAGCUAUGCCAGAUACACCUGCAUUGCCAAUGCCCAUUAAACUCGAUUAACUAUGUAAUGGCAACCAACGGAUUCCUCCAGAUUUCCCAUGGCUCCCAGUUAAAUCGGGGACAAAUCUCAUCUGAAUCAGGGACAAAUCCAGAAAUCAUAAGGGAACCACAGGCAUUUUCAAAAUAUUAAUACUAUUAACUAGAGAUGUUGAUAGAAUAAGAAAAUGUGAACUAAAAUACAUUUUCUGGAGUAAAAAAAAUUGCCCAACUCAAACCAAUUUUAUUAUUACGUGUAAUUCACCAGCUUUUCUCCAAAAGUCACAGUUUUUUUUUGGGGAGGGGGGGGGGGUAGAAGAACAGAUACAAAGGCUGACUAUAAAUCAGGGUCCUGAAACAUCAGGGAGACUAGAUGUACGAGAUUUCCUCAGUUCACUGAGUCUGCAGUUUUAGAAGUGAAAACUGAAGUGAAGUCCCCCAAACAUUUGGCAAUUAAGAACAUAACGCCAUUAGAAAUGUUGCUUAGUUGCCGAGUUUUACUUUUUAUUUAAGUAGGCAUCCUUAACACUUACUGGUUUUCUUUUAUUGUUACAAAACUGUAGGAGAUUCCUUUCAUACUUCUCUACUG